rnacentral:rRNA from 1 species
AGUGAACGCUGGCGGUAGGCCUAGCACAUGCAAGUCGAGCGGCAGCACAGUAAGAACUUGCUCUUACGGGUGGCGAGUGGCGGACGGGUGAGGAAUACAUCGGAAUCUACUUUUUCGUGGGGGAUAACGUAGGGAAACUUACGCUAAUACCGCAUACGACCUACGGGUGAAAGCAGGGGAUCUUCGGACCUUGCGCGAUUGAAUGAGCCGAUGUCGGAUUAGCUAGUUGGCGGGGUAAAGGCCCACCAAGGCGACGAUCCGUAGCUGGUCUGAGAGGAUGAUCAGCCACACUGGAACUGAGACACGGUCCAGACUCCUACGGGAGGCAGCAGUGGGGAAUAUUGGACAAUGGGCGCAAGCCUGAUCCAGCCAUACCGCGUGGGUGAAGAAGGCCUUCGGGUUGUAAAGCCCUUUUGUUGGGAAAGAAAAGCAGCAGGUUAAUACCCCGCUGUUCUGACGGUACCCAAAGAAUAAGCACCGGCUAACUUCGUG